rnacentral:rRNA from 1 species
GAUGAACGCUAGCUACAGGCUUAACACAUGCAAGUCGAGGGGUAACGAGAGGGAAGCUUGCUUUCCUUGUCGACGACCGGCGCACGGGUGAGUAACGCGCAUCCAACCUGCCCCCAACUAGGGAAUAACCUUGCGAAAGUAAGACUAAUACCCUAUAAUUUCCUCAGAUGUCAUCUGACGAGGAAUAAAGAUUUAUCGGUUGUGGAUGGGGAUGCGUCUGAUUAGCUGGUUGGCGGGGUAACGGCCCACCAAGGCAACGAUCAGUAGGGGUUCUGAGAGGAAGGUCCCCCACAUUGGAACUGAGACACGGGCCAAACUCCUACGGGAGGCAGCAGUGAGGAAUAUUGGUCAAUGGGCGGAAGCCUGAACCAGCCAAGUAGCGUGCAGGAUGACGGCCCUAUGGGUUGUAAACUGCUUUUAUACAGGAAUAAAGUUAGCCACGUGUGGUUAUUUGUAGGUACUGUAUGAAUAAGGACCGGCUAAUUCCGUGCCAGCCGCCGCCGUAA